rnacentral:rRNA from 1 species
AGAGUUUGAUUAUGGCUCAGGACGAACGUUUGGCGACGUGCCUAACACAUGCAAGUCGAGCGAAGUGCUUAUGACAGAUUCCUUCGGGAUGAAGACAUAAGCAUCUUAGCGGCGGAUGGGUGAGUAACGCGUGAGGAACCUGCCUAGUACAAGGGGAUAGCCUCGGGAAACCGGGAUUAAUACCCUAUGACACUUUUAAGUCACAUGACUUUUAAGUCAAAGCGUUUUAGCGGUAUUAGAUGGUCUCGCGUCCCAUUAGCUAGUUGGUGAGAUAAUGGCUCACCAAGGCAACGAUGGGUAGCCGGCUUGAGAGAGUGAACGGCCACACUGGAACUGAGACACGGUCCAGACUCCUACGGGAGGCAGCAGUGGGGAAUCUUGCACAAUGGAGGGAACUCUGAUGCAGCGACGUCGCGUGAACGAUGAAGGCUUUCGAGUCGUAAAGUUCUGUCCUGUGGGACGAUAAUGACGGUACCAUAGGAGGAAGCCCCGGCUAACUACGUGCCAGCAGCCGCGGUAAUACGUAGGGGGCGAACGUUGUCCGGAUUUAUUGGGCGUAAAGGGUACGCAGGCGGCCAUAUAAGUCAGAUGUGAAAGGCCAAGGCUUAACCUUGGUUAGCAUUUGAAACUGUGUGGCUUGAGUUAAGGAGAGGAAAGUGGAAUUCCUGGUGUAGCGGUGAAAUGCGUAGAUAUCAGGAGGAAUACCAGUGGCGAAGGCGACUUUCUGGACUUAUACUGACGCUGAGGUACGAAAGCGUGGGGAGCAAACAGGAUUAGAUACCCUGGUAGUCCACGCCGUAAACGAUGAGUGCUAGGUGUCGGGGGUCAAACCUCGGUGCCGCAGCUAACGCAUUAAGCACUCCGCCUGGGGAGUACGUUCGCAAGAAUGAAACUCAAAUGAUUGACGGAAGGGCGAUUCGCG